GCAUCGAUGAAGAACGCAGCGAAAUGCGAUACGUAAUAUGAAUUGCAGAUAUUCGUGAAUCAUCGAAUCUUUGAACGCACAUUGCGCCCUCUGGUAUUCCGGAGGGCAUGCCUGUUUGAGCGUCGUUUCUCCCUCAAACCGCUGGGUUUGGUGUUGAGCAAUACGACUUGGGUUUGCUUGAAAGACGGUAGUGGUAAGGCGGGAUCGCUUUGACAAUGGCUUAGGUCUAACCAAAAACAUUGCUUGCGGCGGUAACGUCCACCACGUAUAUCUUCAAACUUUGACCUCAAAUCAGGUAGGACUACCCGCUGAACUUAAGCAUAUCAAUAAGCGGAGGA
rnacentral:rRNA from 1 species